rnacentral:misc_RNA from 1 species
UCCCGGUUCACCCGGGCAGUCUCACUAGAGUUCCCGCCAUUACGCGCUGGCAACUAAUGAUAAGGGUUGCGCUCGUUGCGGGACUUAACCCAACACCUCACGGCACGAGCUGACGACAGCCAUGCAGCACCUGUGCAGAGACCCUUGCGGGCUAUUACAUUUCUGCAAUAUUCCUCUACAUGUCAAGUCUGGGUAAGGUUCUUCGCGUUGCAUCGAAUUAAACCACAUGCUCCACUGCUUGUGCGGGUCCCCGUCAAUUCUUUUGAGUUUCACCCUUGCGGGCGUACUUCCCAGGCGGUAUACUUAUCGCGUUAGCUACGGCACAAUCAGGGUUGAGUCCGAUUACACCAAGUAUACAUCGUUUACGGCAAGGACUAC